UCUGAGCAAUUUAAUAUGGAUCUGGGUGUGAGUGGGGUGGGUCCAACCCCAGGCAGGGCAGCACAUUCUCAGGCUUUAUUCCACAAGUUGUGCUGAGGAGCUGGAUUUUAAACUGUUCCCAGUCUGGGGCACAGGCUUUUCUUCAUAACUAGGGACAAGAGGAUAACUAGGAACCAGAGGAUUUUUCUUCUCGCUCUUCAAACCUUCAAGUUUCUAGGAAUCCCACAGGGUCCCAUGGCCGGCAGCAAAAACAGGUGAAAUUUGUUGGCAAUGGUACCUACAAGCAACAGUUUUUCUUCUCAUCAGAGAAGAGGAAGUGGGAAGAUGAGAGGGAAAACAACAUGGUGGCACUGAGGCAGUGGAAACAAGGAGGGGGAAGAGGAGCUUCGAGUGUUGGAGCUGAGAAUCCUCUGCAGGCCGUGGUAAAGACUGUGUUAAAACAAACUGUCCCUCUGUAACUCAUUAAGUCCACAGGGGAUGCAGAGAUCCACUCACAGCCCAUGGGAAAAGUGCUCACACCAGAGAGGGUGGAUGCCAGAGAAAGCUGGGAUCCAGUGGGAAACCCAAAUGAAGAGAGAAGACUUCUGCUUCCAGAGAGAGAGGGCCCUUGCUCCCAAACUAGAGCAGCCUAUCCCUAGGGGAGUGCACCCCAUGGAUGAGUGACCCACACCACAGCAGUUUUGGGAAGGUUGUUUGUCCAUGGGAGGGACCCCAUGGCAUAGCAGGGACAAGACUCCUGUCCCUGAGCAAACAAAAGACCUCAAGUGACAAACUGACCAAAACUCCCAGGCCUUGUCUCCCUGUGCUGUUGCUGGGAAAUAGGAAGGGGCUGGGGGGAAAAAAGGUGUUUCAAAAGCUUAUUUUACUUCACAUUAUCCUCUUCUGAUUGCUAAUAAUAAAUUUAUUUUAUACCUUUA